UACGGAGGGUGCAAGCGUUAUCCGGAUUUACUGGGUUUAAAGGGUGCGCAGGCGGAUAUGUAAGUCAGUGGUGAAAUCUCUAGGCCUAACCUGGAAAUUGCCGUUGAUACUAUAUAUCUUGAAUGCUGUGGAGGUAAGCGGAAUAUGUCAUGUAGCGGUGAAAUGCUUAGAUAUGACAUAGAACACCGAUUGCGAAGGCAGCUUACUACGCAGAUAUUGACGCUCAUGCACGAAAGCGUGGGGAUCAAACAGG
rnacentral:rRNA from 1 species